AUUUCGUAGUGCAUUUCUUUUAGAACCUAAAUGAAAAUUAAAAAAAUCCCACCUUCGCUUUCUCAAUUAAAUUUUUACAGUGUGUUGUACUACUUCUGGGACAAAUUAUAUCAAAAUUAUAGAAAACUUCAUCGGCUCUAACUCAAAAUAUGGACAAUUGUAUGUUUAGGGCGUCUUGAAAUCUUUUGACAGCUUCCGAAGUGCUAAUUUU
rnacentral:lncRNA from 1 species